UACGGAGGGUGCGAGCGUUAUUCGGAAUUACUGGGCGUAAAGCGCGUGUAGGCGGGAAGACAAGUCUGAUGUGAAAGCCCCGGGCUUAACCUGGGAAGUGCAUUGGAAACUGUUUUUCUUGAGUACUGGAGAGGAAGGGGGAAUUCCCGGUGUAGAGGUGAAAUUCGUAGAGAUCGGGAGGAAUAUCAGUGGCGAAGGCGCCCUUCUGGACGGAUACUGACGCUGAGACGCGAAAGCGUGGGGAGCAAACAGG
rnacentral:rRNA from 1 species